AGCGGGGUGGAGCAGUCAGGUCAGCUCGCGAGGCCCAUAACCUCGAGGUCAGUAGUUCAAAUCUACUCCCCGCUA
rnacentral:tRNA from 1 species